CCUACGGGGGGCAGCAGUGAGGAAUAUUGGUCAAUGGACGAAAGUCUGAACCAGCCAAGUAGCGUGAAGGAUGACUGCGCUAUGGGUUGUAAACUUCUUUUAUCUGGGAAUAAAAUGAUCCACGUGUGGGAUUUUGUGGGUACCAUAUGAAUAAGCAUCGGCUAACUCCGUGCCAGCAGCCGCGGUAAUACGGAGGAUCCGAGCGUUAUCCGGAUUUAUUGGGGUUAAAGGGGGCGUAGGUGGAUUGUUAAGUCAGUGGUGAAAGUUUGCGGGUCAACCGUAAAAUUGCAGUUGAAACUGGCAGUAUUGAGUACAGGAGAGGUGGGCGGAAUUCGUGGUGUAGCGGUGAAAUGCUUAGAUAUCACGAAGAACUCCGAUUGCGAAGGCAGCUCACUGGAGUCCAACUGACACUGAGGCACGAAAGUGUGGGUAUCAAACAGGAUUAGAUACCCUAGUAGUC
rnacentral:rRNA from 1 species